ensembl:lncRNA
GUGAUGAUUGCUAUGGGAAAAAAAGCGUAACAGGAGUUGGGGACGAUAGAAACCUGAGGACCCAAGUGAACCCAAAUCAGGAAACUCACUAUCACUGAUUAUGUCAAACACAGAGUACCAAAUAAAUGUCAGGCAAACCAAAAUUAUAAGGCUUCCCUGGUGAUUCAGACAGUGAAGAAUCUGCCUGAAAACACUCUGAGAAGGGACUCAUGUGUAUCAUGAGCCUGCCAAAAGGGUGCAGUCUGGAAGAAGAUUAAGAAACUACAAGAACACUGAAUUUCCUGGAGACAAAUAAUCUACUGCAGCACCUUUCAUAUAAAAAAAGCUCAAUAAAUAUUUGUUGAACAC